GUCCGGCGGAACUUCCGCCCACGAGACUGUUCUCUCUUCUGCAACCCUCCCCGGCUCUCCGUGCGCCCUCGGCCGACCGCCUCCCUCAAGGGGGCUCUGGUGCCCGGUAGGAGUGGGAGAAAAUGCCCGGGGCAAUUCACGCUAUGCGUACAGGGGCAGCACAUCCUGAGAAAAAGAUUACUCUGCGUAUGACAAGAAGCGUCGGUUCUCAUAAAACGGUUAAUUCUCCCAAGAAUACGCACAAGUUUCUCAAUCCUUCCAAAUUCCAACCACUUGGAAAUGUCAACCGAACAUACAUGUUGACCCGAACAGAGACAAGAUCUUUGGCAACUACACCAGCCUGGAACAAUCCCUGCUUUAUUUGCCCAGGAAAAUGGCGUCCUGCACAUUCUUCAACAGAGACUAAAGACAUUCUUCUUAGAAUCCAGGAAUGCCUUUGUGAAGUCAUGAACUUUUUCAGCCUUUGGUGCCAAAAGAAAGAAUUCAAACCAGCAUCCUGAUACAAACCACUCAGCGCUGAAUAUUCUUACUGUAUAUUCACAACAGUGAACAUUGGUACUUUAAUUAGGCUUGCUGAUAUGCUGUCAUUUCAGUGUUCGUGUAUAAUUCUUUAAAGCCCAACUAAUAUUGUUCUUUUUUCAUUAUAUGUCUCCUUUUUCUCCUAGCCCUAGAAAUAAACAUCCUUGAACAAUGAAAUAAAUCACAGAGUACAAAUGAA